UUGCUUUGACAGCACAUAUACUAAAAUCAGAAUAAUACAGAGAAGAUUAGCAUGGUCCCUGCACAAGGAUGACACACAAAUUUGUGAAGCAUUCCAUAUUUUU